CCUUUUUCACAAUGCGAAAAGUUGGGAUUUUACAAUCCGGCAACGCCGCAAUCGGCCAUCUUUGUUCUAAUUAAUUUUUCCCCAUGUAAAUUCCCAUAAGAAAUGGGGGUCCCUGCAAUUUAAAUUCAUUUUCUAUUUAUUGGCGUCUUAAAUCCAAUAUAUUUAUCGUGGAUCGUGUUCCCCGAUGAGUUGGUUGUUUUGAUUCUGUAAUGUCAAAACAGAAAUGUUGUGUGUGUUGGGCUUCGGUAACAGAUACAAUGUUCGUGAAACUGUUAUAACUUUUGCUCAAACGUGGAUGUCAUUGGACAUCUAGAAUAUGUGGUUUCAAAAGUAGGAGACAUGUAUGGCUGAAAAGAACAAAUUUGAGAGAAAAAGAUUUGACAAAAUAAAGCAGAGUUUACAGUCAACAUUUUGCUGAUGUCGUAACUACAGAUGUUGACUGGGCACCAACAUGUAAUCAUGAGAAAAAUUCCAUUGGGAUGGAUACUGUUGAAAGAAUUAGUCGCUCUGUAAGAAGAGAAAUUGUCAGGACAUGUUCAAAGAUGAUACACAUUCCACAAGUUGCAGUUACUGAUGUCAUGAAAGAUAAAGCACCCAACGCAUUACACCUUUGAUGAACAGAUCAACACAUUAGUGAAUCUACCAACGAUCAGCAUCCAUCUACCUGCAACUUAGCUCUUGAAUUAGAAAACCAGGCAUUGGUUCUUCGAAUAAAAGUAUUGGAAAAUAAAAAGAAACAAAAAAACAAACAAUUACAAGUUGAAGCAGUGUCACGUUUUCAGCAUCUUUAUUAAACAUUUUUUUCUUCUUGUUUAAUACAAUGUUUCACUCGAAAAAAGAA